rnacentral:rRNA from 1 species
ACGAACGCUGGCGGCGUGCUUAACACAUGCAAGUCGAGCGGUAAGGCCCUUUCGGGGGUACACGAGCGGCGAACGGGUGAGUAACACGUGGGUGACCUGCCUUUAGCUCUGGGAUAAGCCUGGGAAACUGGGUCUAAUACCGGAUAUGACUCCGCGGUGCAUGCUGUGGGGUGGAAAGCCUUGUGCGGCUGGAGAUGGGCCCGCGGCCUAUCAGCUUGUUGGUGGGGUGAUGGCCUACCAAGGCGACGACGGGUAGCCGGCCUGAGAGGGCGACCGGCCACACUGGGACUGAGACACGGCCCAGACUCCUACGGGAGGCAGCAGUGGGGAAUCUUGCGCAA